rnacentral:rRNA from 1 species
CCUACGGUGUGCUGCAGUGGGGAAUAUUGGACAAUGGGCGAAAGCCUGAUCCAGCCAUGCCGCGUGUGUGAAGAAGGCCUUCGGGUUGUAAAGCACUUUCAGUGGGGAAGAAAGCCUUGGGGCUAAUACCCUCGAGGAAGGACAUCACCCACAGAAGAAGCACCGGCUAACUCCGUGCCAGCAGCCGCGGUAAUACGGAGGGUGCGAGCGUUAAUCGGAAUUACUGGGCGUAAAGCGCGCGUAGGCGGUCUGAUAAGCCGGUUGUGAAAGCCCCGGGCUCAACCUGGGAACGGCAUCCGGAACUGUCAGGCUAGAGUGCAGGAGAGGAAGGUAGAAGUCCCGGUGUAGCGGUGAAAUGCGUAGAGAUCGGGAGGAAUACCAGUGGCGAAGGCGGCCUUCUGGACUGACACUGACGCUGAGGUGCGAAAGCGUGGGUAGCAAACAGGAUUAGAUACCCUAGUAGUC